CCUACGGGAGGCAGCAGUAGGGAAUCUUCCACAAUGGACGAAAGUCUGAUGGAGCAACGCCGCGUGAGUGAAGAAGGGUUUCGGCUCGUAAAGCUCUGUUGGUAGUGAAGAAAGAUAGAGGUAGUAACUGGCCUUUAUUUGACGGUAAUUACUUAGAAAGUCACGGCUAACUACGUGACAGCAGCCGCGGUAAUACGUAGGUGGCAAGCGUUGUCCGGAUUUUUUGGGCGUAAAGCGAGUGCAGGCGGUUCAAUAAGUCUGAUGUGAAAGCCUUCGGCUCAACCGGAGAAUUGCAUCAGAAACUGUUGAACUUGAGUGCAGAAGAGGAGAGUGGAACUCCAUGUGUAGCGGUGGAAUGCGUAGAUAUAUGGAAGAACACCAGUGGCGAAGGCGGCUCUCUGGUCUGCAACUGACGCUGAGGCUCGAAAGCAUGGGUAGCGAACAGGAUUAGAUACCCCUGUAGUC
rnacentral:rRNA from 1 species